GGCUCCCGCCCUCCCGCCUCAGCCGCCUCAGUGCGGGCGGGGCCGGGGCGGGGUCGGGCGGCCCCUAUAAAGGCCCUCGCGCGGGGCCCAUCGAUCUCUUGCUCCGGCGUGGCUGAGGACGCUGCCGAGGCGGAGGGUGCAGAGCCUGCGGGAGACCUGAUGGGCGGCAGGGUCAGGCGUGCUGUGAGGACACUUGCCCGGUUUGCUCCGCAGAGAGAAGGGGGGGUUAAGGGAAUCUUAGUAGAUAAAACGCUGCUUAAUAAUUAUCUAGAUUGCUGUGCAGCCCAAAGAAUCAAGCUGAUAGACAGUGUUUAAUGUUUUGCCAAUUAUUGUAUAAACUAACUGAGGCAAGAAGUCCUGCAGUUCCUCACAAAGGACAGUUCCUGAUCAGGUCCAGAGAUUUGUCUUAAGAACCAGCUAAAACCGACCCUGAGGUUCGGAUAGGAGCCAAGGAACAACCGAGUCUGCGCAAGAACAAGAGGUUACUAGUGGUGACGAAGAGGAGUCGUCUGACUUCAUCUCUACGACCCCUGACGACCACCACAAGGAGGCACUGCGCAAGUGCAGUCAGAAGGAAUUUAUGAAAAUGACUUCUUGGGACUAAUUUUAAUGCGAAGCUGGGAUAGGUCAUGCAUAUGUAUAGAUAAAUUGAGAAACCUUAUCUAUAUGUAAUACUUGGCUGUAUAAGUUUGAAGCAAGUUGCUGCGUUAGGCGCACACAAAUUUAGUGGGACUAACCCCCCAUGCCGCCCAGUGCUGAAUAAACAUACCUACUUUACAAUCUCAUAGAUUGUGAAGUCUGUUCUCCGCAUGUCAGUUUGGUGAGCCAGGCAGGAGACUCUCCGCUUGGCUGUGGGAUCGACUGUGGAGCGGACGCCCCUAGGCACGCCCCGAGAACUUCUCUCGGAGGAGCCUCCGCUGCCAGCCGCUCACCGCAGGAGCAAACAACAACCUUCUGAAGCCGUGGACUAAACGGUAUGUUUUAUAAGGGAAGCCUGUAAGUCAUAUGUGUGGCCGGGGCAGCUGGUAAAUCACGCUGAGACGCCUGGUGUGCAGCAUAGUCUCCGUAUGGGAGGAGGGUACCCUGUAUACUAACAAGGGGAUUUGCUGACUGAUAGGGCCGCCGCUAGCGAUCUUGGGAGCAGAUUGAGCAAAUCCGAGGUCACUGCUGCAUCCCAGUGCUGGGAGACAGGAUGGACCUGCCGAUGGUUGGUAUAUAAGAGGCAGGAGGAGGGUAAGCGGACCUCCUCGCAAUUGCACUUGGUAUAUCUUUAUAUUUGCAGCUGUUGGAUGGAUAUUAACUUGGAUGAUAAAUAAUAUAAUUUGAAUACCUGGGAA